ensembl:lncRNA novel transcript, antisense to PDPK1
AUGAGGAGGAGGAAGCCUGAACAGAAAUUCCUGAAAGGGCUAAGAGAGACUCCCCAACACAGCCAAGCCUUUCCAAAAGCCAGGAGGAGGAGAGAGGACUCCGACUCCGGCCACAGGCCCAGGGCAACGUGCUGGGCCCCGGAGCGUCCUGCUCCCUGGGGCCCCAGGGUAGGUGCGGCCCAGCUCACCCCAGCUCACGGUCACAGGCUCACAUGCAGCUCUCACACAGCAGCAGCCAAGGCCCAGGCAGGAACCACAGGCAGGGCCUGGGGAACAUCUCUGCCCCCUCCCAGGCCCCGUCUGUACUCGCCUAGCUAAAAAGAGCCACUCUCGUCAUUAGCAGUGUAAAAACGACACCUUCCCUCUCAGUUUGGAUCUGGCCUGGCACACAGGGUCACUGCUGAGUCACCUGUGACUUGGGGGUAGGGACCAGGGAGGGUGGACACAGUUGAGUCAGAGGCAGGUCUGUGGGCAGCAAUGUCUGCCUCUCCCCCAAAGGGAGUGAGGGCUGCCCUCCAGGGACAACCUGGGCAGGGAGAGAAGGGCCCAGACCUGCCAGGCCACCAGGAGCACUCUCUACCUGGGGAGUAGCUAGGCAAAGGACAAAUGCAUCUGGCCUGUCUGUGCUGCAGAGCGGGGCAAGGCCACCAAAGCAUCAAAGGGAAAUGGCCCCAAAACCGGCUCUCUCUAGAGGAAAGCCGACCAGCAAGCUGGGGUUGAAGUGUGCUGUUCUCGCCUCCUGUGCAACAGCAACUGGCAAAGCCCACUCUAUGGGCCCAGAUGAGCCGGCAGCAUGAGAAGGCUGUGAGAUUUCUGAUGCACAGAUGUAGAAGCUCUGAGGGGCUCUGAGAAACUUGAACCAAAACACAAAAGGGGCGUGUGUGACGGUGGUGUCUGCACUCCCUGGCGUGGUCUGCAGGAGACAGAAGCACCCUGGGUCUGCUGAUGCCAGGGUUCUCUCAGACCCUACUUCAGCAACUGGAGAGGCGUGGACAUUUAAACCUUUUAGGAGGCCCUCAGGCCUCUCUGCUCCACACGGAAGUCAGCAGCCCUCUCUGCUCUGGCUGGCUUCUCCAAGGCACCUCCUGGCCCCACCUAGGGCUCGGGGCAGGACUCUCUCGUGCAGUGAGCCAGCGGGGUACUAACUGGGCUCACUUCUGACAGUACCGCUCCCAGCAUGCGCUCGGCUUCCAGCCCCAGAGACCAACACUGCUAAGUAGGAUAAGGGAUCCGGAGCCCUCGAUGGCACCCUCCACUCGGCAGCCUGCUCCCGCACCACUCCAACCCCUCCCGCUCCUCACCACGCAAACCUGCCUGCCAACACAGCAGGGGCCACAGAAAGCUGCCACCAGAGCCACCACAGGGAUAUGUAAUGGGCCCAGCCAGGCCUAAGGGCCCAUCACAGGGAGACGCAAGAAAGGGAGCAGGUGACAGAAGCACGGCGGCUCCCUCCACAAAGCUGCGGCCCCCGCAGGGCUCCCUCCCUGGUGAAGAGUUCCAGGACCACAGCGGGAGGGGCAUAAAGAGCCAAACACACCCGGUCCCCUCGGCCACAGCAGGACCAGCACACAGUUGGGGCAGGGCGGGCGCAUGGUUCGGACUGAUGCUAGGAAAAACUGGUGACACCAGGUCUGUCCACUAGUCUGGGCGGGACUGGGUUGACGUGCAUGGAGCUGGGUCCCCACGGCAACGAGGGCACACGGAGGCCUCCACGGAGCACAGAGAGCAAGCAAAGCGACCCUGAAUUCCUUUGUGUUUGUUACUGGUUUUGUUCUUUGUGUGGUUGGGUGUUUUUUUUCUUCUUUUCUUUUAAAUAAAAAUGCUGCAAGGUUUCCGCC